CGGUAGCAGCCCAGGUGGCUCCGCAGGCCCCCAGGUGAUGGGCUCGGCGGCUCUCACUGCUGUCUCCCUCACUGGGGAGAGGGGGAGGAGGAGAAGGCAGGUCCUUAUCUACCGCAGAGGCCACGUUGGGUUCCCCCCUCUACCUUAGCUGCCUGGUGUUUAGGACGCAGGGGAAGCCAGAGCAGUGCUGAGCUUGUAUGGGCCAGGGCUCCUAUCCUGGGAGACUUGCAUUCGUUCCAGCUGUUCCCAAAGGGGUUUGAUCCGCCUCCUGUAGACUUGGAGGGCCACGGAUGAGAUUUCAACUAAGAUUUAGCUUCAGUUCCUUAGGGUCUCAGCUCCAUCCAAAAGUGUAAGCUGCUCACUUAGUCUCCAGUAAGAACUAGAGAUUCCUACAGAGAAUAACCAACGUUCUAAAACAAGAAGUAAACCCAUCUGAUGUUUGGUCACCACAACCUCUAAUGAAAGAGUCACUGUACCAAGGCUGAGAUGCGUCCUAUGGUAGAGAACCCAUUACCAACUGAAGAAGUCUACCCCAUCACUGGAGCUUCUAUUACUACAAAUUGUU